rnacentral:rRNA from 1 species
UACGUAGGGUGCGAGCGUUGUCCGGAAUUACUGGGCGUAAAGAGCUCGUAGGUGGUUUGUCGCGUUGUUCGUGAAAACCUGAGGCUUAACCUCGGACUUGCGGUGGGUACGGGCAGACUAGAGUGUGGUAGGGGAGACUGGAAUUCCUGGUGUAGCGGUGAAAUGCGCAGAUAUCAGGAGGAACACCGAUGGCGAAGGCAGGUCUCUGGGCCACUACUGACGCUGAGAAGCGAAAGCAUGGGGAGCGAACAGG